CAGCGUUUCUUUCUUUCCCAGUUAAAAAAACGACCUGAAGCAGUCCUAUUCUCUCUCGCAAUCUCCCUCUCGCAAUCCAUAUCUCUCUUCAUAUAACAAUUUUGGAAAGAGAUCCAUGUCUCUCUCGAAUUGGAGCAAGUAAUUUGGGCAUGGACACCCCUCUCUCUCUCUCUCCAUAUGGAAACAGAUCCGUAUCUCUCCCAAUUUGCAACCGGGAAGUGGGGGCAUGAAUCUCCUGCGCUCAGCCUAUCACAGUAAUAUUAUUUUCUUCAUCUACAUCAGGUAUUCAAUUUCCUUUAUCGUGGCGGAUUCUUGAAGCAGAUGAUAGCGAUGGCAAAGUAAAAUCAGUGUCCUCAAUCCCUCCAAAAACAACAAAUAGAUCUUCCUGUGGCAUACAGAAAAGCACGUCCAAUGUCAACCAUUCCUAUACAGGUGGAUCUUAUUUUCUCUGCUGAUUAACCCUAACUGGAUCCUCGACUCUCUGCUGUGAUUUGGCUUCCCCAAUAAUAGUUUUCCCAAUCCUUCAACCAAGAGAGGCAAGGGGUGGUGUAUAUGGAGACGGACGGAGCUACUGUGGUUGGUGCCGUCCCAGAUGGUGGAUGAAGACCAUGCUAAUCCUGAUGAGCAGGUAGCAUGAUUUUAGCUACUUAGCGUUCAGGCUCCUACCAACCUCAUCAUUCUUAUAUGGAGGAGAUAGCAAGUAUUUUUCCUGUGGAGAAUUGGAUGGCACCACUGUGCAAACAUCUACUGCUGCAGCCUGCACGUGUUGUGUCUAAUUUUAUUGGGACUAUCUAGACUAUGAUGAAAACAUCUCGCUGGUGGAGACGAUAAAUAAUUAGUAAGUACGUGACUGCUCUCGCGCUGAUGUGAUGCCCUCUUGCCGAAAACAGUAGCGAUAGCAGCAGCACUCACCUCAGCUCUACCUUGCUCCAUCCCAUCUCCAUGUCUAUCAUCGACUCAUAAUCUCCAUCAGUGCUCCAAUCCACAUAAAAAGACCAUGAUCCAGUCCAGCGGAAUGACCAAGAGCUAGCGACGGUUGAUGACUUCGGCAAGGACGAUUUUGAUCAUGGGCUAAGUUAAAAGUAAACCCCUCACCUCAACACCAGGGUCAUGAUGUUUUAGGGAUCCAAGGAGUAGAUGCACUGACUGCAGUUUGAAGCCAAUGACAAUUUUGCAUGUGACACCAUCACUGUUUUCUUUUAUCUUAUAAGUUGGAAAUUUGGAAGUACUUAUCUUCAUAGACACAUGUUUGUUGAUGUUUUUCCUAACAAUCAGACUAAUUGAAAGUCUGUUUCUACGGCUGAUGUAAUUCAACAUUACUAUCUUACAGAUUUUAUAUCUUUAUUGUCACUAGAUGAAUUCAGGUCCGCUGGGGUCUUCACUUUACACAUGUGUGCAUUUAGAUAAUUUGACAUCUAAUUGCUGCCAUUGGUUGCAAAUGGAAGUGCAGUCUGAAAGUUGGAGGAUGACAUGUUCUCUAGGGUCCGCAAUAUUUGAAAAAAUAGUGGUAAAAGGUAGCACUUGAGAAUUCCUGGAAGAUGUGACUUCUAAUUUCUUCUGAUGCCCUUUCCCCUUUUCUUCUGUAUACAUCUCUUGAUCUAUCAGUUCCCUCAGUGUCAUGUAAACUACAUACAGUUUUGGUACUACUUGAUUUGGAAACACCGUAAAAACAUAUGAUGCGCCCACAUAAAGCAUCUUAUAAUUUCAAUGUUCGACCUAUUUAACGGUGCACUUCAAAUGUUUCAUUUGUGCUAUGCAUACGUGUAGGCACUGGAGCAUAUUUCUAUCAUCUACCUAUGGAAGAUGAUCCAACAUGGAUGCCCUGAAGAGUACCCAUAUGUAGCCUUUUAAUUUCUAUAACAUGCACUCACUACUACCUGCUUUUAUGCACUUGAUGUGACGUAUUGAGAAGUACAAUUAAACAAGUUAUUUGUUCAAAAUUUCCACACAUUUUGCUCAAGUAAAACAUGUGUAUGUUCAGUUAGUCUUCUUAAUGUCUUGACCAAUUCGUCAAUGAGGCUAAAUACCCGUGGUUAUAUUACGCCUAUUGUCCUUUGAUAUUGUUAAAAGAACUUACCCGAGAUAUGUAAUGCUGAUGCUCCUGCUACUUUCGGCCAUUAUAUUAUUCAGAAUUCUAUAAAUGCAUUCCCAACUGCGCAAUCGCUUAGCUUAUGGAUUUGAUUUCUUCUAACUUUAUAAAUUCACAAAGGAUUAUAACAAGGCGUCUGAGUUGUUGGAUUUAGUAAGUCUAUUCCAUGUACGUCAAAAAUUAUGCAUGGACAAUACAUAUUAGGCUAUAUUGGGACACAAGACAUGCUCACUACUGGAAUUCUACACACUCGGGAAAGGUGGAAGAAAAACUCGGCAAAGUAUUUGGCCGGUGGAACACUCGGAACACAUGACUAUGCUGGA